GGACCUCUAGCUCAUGCCUGGUUAGAGCAGCGAACUCAUAAUUCGUUGAUGCCGUAUUCGACUCGCGGGAGGCCCACCA
rnacentral:tRNA from 1 species